GCAAGUCGAGGGGUAACAGAUGAAGAGCUUGCUCAGAUUGCUGACGACCGGCGCACGGGUGAGUAACACGUAUGCAACCUACCUUUUACAGAGAGAUAGCCCAGAGAAAUUUUGAUUAAUACCUCAUAAUAUUUUUAACUCGCAUGAGUUUUAAAUUAAAACUUCGGUGGUAAAAGAUGGGCCUGCGUUGUAUUAGUUUGUUGGUGAGGUAACGGCUUACCAAGACUACGAUGGAUAGGGGUUCUGAGAGGGUAGUC
rnacentral:rRNA from 1 species